AAUUCUCAACCUUAUCAGCUUUUGUUGAUAAUGGCUUGGAUGUGGGGGUUAUUUUGCUGGUUUCUUCAAUGAGAUCAGCUCCCCUUAAAUGUAUUAGCUGGUUGCCUUGUGCAGACUUGUCUAUUGGUGUGAUAAUUAUCUACGCCGUGGACUUCUGCCAGUAUUUAGCACCGCUUCUAACUGUCUGUUUACUCGGACAAUAUAUAUGACA
rnacentral:misc_RNA from 1 species